UCGAACAAUCGAUUCCGACUCAUCGGACGUCUAACGUCACUAACUUGACGAUUACCAUCACUAUCCGAGUUCGUCUGCUUCGAUCAUGCUGUCAAUCAGCUGGGCUUGUUGACAAUCAAAUUAAUUUGAGAAAGCAAAAUCGAAGAUGUUGAAUAUAAACGACACCAGAGUUAAAUUUGGGCCGGACAAACAUUCAUCGAGAGUUCAUCCUAGAUGUUUUUCAACGAUCUGCACAUUUCUAGUAUUUUUCCGUCGAUCUGAGUACCGACGUCCAAAAUGGCACGUUCGGUAAACGGUUUUCGUCGAUCUAAGUUCUAGGCUUUAGCAAAAAACACAAGGCUUGGUUGCAAAAUUUUGGAUUAACUUAAAUUGGAGAUGGAGGUUGUUGUAGGUUUAAGUACUAUUGCAAAAUAAAAAAAAAUGAAAUACCACCGGGGCGGAUACAUUAAUGAGCAAAAUUGUGUU